AAACACGUUAGAUGAUCACAACAUACCGCGACGAAAACAAAAAUGAGUUCGAAAACAUCACAUAUAGUUUCUUUUAUGUUAUCUAUUCUCAUUGUUAUUCUUGUUUUUUCCUCUCAAAGUGGAGUCGUGGAGGCUACAAGUCGCAAACUAAUUACAUUGGGAGCGCCCAUCGUGUGGACUCGACCAUCAAAGUCAUGCGGAGCUUCUUAUGCAUCAUGGUCUAAAAAACCUCGACGACCAUGCAAACGUCCUCCAAGAUAUGUUCCAGUUUCUACUCAGUCGUCUCCAUAAAUCCCUUCUCGUUUUUGUGUAAUAUUGGAGUGUAGUGAAGUUUUCGAAAUUCGAGGUUCAUGUAAAAAAAAUAAUGUGAAUUGUCUGAUUUGUUUUCUUGUCUGAAUAAUGUACGAAAUUAGUGUACAAUGUAAGGUAAAAUGAUAAAAUAUAUAACUAUUUCUGAUUUUUGUAUUAAUCAGUAGUAGCAAAUUUCAUGUUA